CAAUAUCGCACUGUCAUAAACAUGAUCACGGAUGGGUUAUACAUGGUGUGUAAAAUCCAAGACUAUUGCGUAGAAUCUCGUUCUCGUUGGAAGUAGAGCCUCUGCAAUAUCGAUGGAUUUUUUUAUUCAAUAAGAACUUAUCAGGUAAUUUUUUACAGCAAUUUAGUUUUGAACGGUGGUAAUUUGCUUUGAUUAUUGAUUUUAUGUUCGCCUAAUACGGAGAUAUUAGUUUUUAUCGUCAUCUGUAAUAACAUGUGGUUUAUCAAUGAAACGAAACAGGGAAUACAUGUUAAGGACACAUUCAUACAUUUACCUAAAAAAAAAAGAUUUUUCCGUGACAUGUCAUUCAUUGAAUAUAAAUUGUAGAAAAAAUAACUUAUUAUUGAGUACAUAAUUUGCUAGUAGCUAGUAAUUAUACACCUGUUAUAUUUAAAUGUCGAUACCUUUUAAAGUUUAAGGACAAGAGGUAAAGAUCAAAUAAUUGUUUUUGCUUCAUUUCACCGAAAUCCAUUGACUCUACACCUUAUUACACAAUUGAUUUUAUGUCAACAAUUUUACAUUAUAUUUAUUGAUUUUUAAAUGUACUUUGUUUGUAAAUUUAAAUAACUAAACUUGCUACACUUCGAAUCGUUAUUUUGAAAUGUGAAUCAUCUGUUUUCCACACUAAACAUAAUAGUUACAGUUGCGUGGUUAUUUGUAAAAACGUUUUUAAACAACUGCACUUCAUUUUCACUGUUUUAGCCAUAUUAUUCUUAAAGAAACCUCCCUGUCAUUGUAAACUACCACGCCCUCUUUAUCUUCAAUAAGAAACACCUGCACAGGUCCAGGUAAAAGGACGUAGAAAUUAAUUUACAGACUUUGUAUAGAGGUGGCAAAUUAUCAAGGUUAAAAAGAAAGAUACACGUAUGAACAGGUGAAAUCUACAUAGUUAGAUGCCUACAUUAUUGAUGAUAAAUAUAUCAAUAAUAAAGUGUGAAAUCUAAAAUAACAUUGAUUUAGGUAAAUAAUUAUCUACAGUAUGUAAUGAAAUGAAUUUGUUUUGUUUUGUAUACUUAGAUGUGGAUCACUGAUGAAGAGAACCAAAAGAUGAUUUGUUAUUAUUAAAGGUAUGAACUAUUCUCUGUUCUACAUUUUACAGCAAACAUUGCUUAUAUUACAUGCCCUUCAUUCUAACAAUGGUUGAUAUUUUAUAUAUACGUGUAUAUACUCUUAAUUAAAAGUUAAGGUUUAUACAAAAAUAAUCAAUUUAUUCCUAGAAAAUGGCUUAGUGGCUUGAACAAUGUACGACAACAAUUUUAGUUCAUAGCUCUCGCUGUGAUUUCUCCCAUUUUUGCGCAAGUUUUUAAUUUUUGCAAUAAAUAAUGUGAGUGACCCUCCAAACUGCAGCUUGAAAUGAAAUUUAAAAUUUGAAUGAAGACAACGUUUUUUAAAAUUCAUAUCUUGAACAAUGGGUUCAUGUCCAAGCGACGAAUUCGAAACGAGCCACUUUUUAUAUAUGACACAUUUAGCAGAUACUCGCUGUUUAAGCUGGUUAUAGGCUGACUACUACACGUGUGUUCAUAAUCUCAGUUAAAUACAGGCGGAUUCCAGUUUACUCUCUGUUGAGCAGAUGCUAUUAUACAGAAUUGUACAUACUAAAAAGUUUUUAUGAGAUUGCAUAACAGUUUGUCAACCAUUCAAUUUCUGUACAGCGUCGCUGUACUCAAUUUAUCAAACUUUCAAUUCAUAUAGCCUUUCAAAUAAGCCUAACUCUUCAAUCAUUACAUCAUUUAUUAGAUACAUUUUAUCUAAUUUCGGAUUUGUAUAACAUAGAAACGCAAGCUCACAAAAGCUUUAUUCCGACAAGAAAAAUAGAUCCAUUUCGAUUCGGUACAUGUACAUCAGUCAUUCGUCUCGGAUAGAAGGAGAGUAGCGGAUUCUACCGAGGUUUGCCGAAUGGUACAUCAGUUUCUCAACCAUUUAUGAAUACGUAGAUAUCGCUGAGCUCAUUUAUCAACCCGUCAGUUUAUAUUAGAGCUUUUUAGUUGCCACCAAUACUUCAACCAUUUAUUUGUUACACAGUCAUCUUGCAGAGUCGACCAUUCAGUUAUAGAGACAUUUUUUCUAUGUCGAUUUAUCAACCAUUUAGAUUAUAGAACCAUUUGAAAACGACGAUUAUAACACCCUUUAUAAAAAAAAAAUACAUUUAAUGCACUAGGGAAAUAUUUUAACUAUUUAGCUGUAUUAUUUCCUUCUUUAAUAAAACUACUAUUUACACAACUUUAAACUUUACACAACUUAUCGAGUUUCUUAACGACAAAAAAGCGAUAUCAAUUUACCUAAGACAUAUAAUUCAUUUUAUCAAAUUUACAAACAGUUAAAGAAUAUUUUUGUAAAAGAUUUGAAACUCAUAUCAAUAUAAAGUAAGUCUUCAGAAAAUGCUCUUAAUAAAUGGACCCAAAGGGUUAAAUGUGGUAAAGAUAUAUGAUCAACAUUGUCUUCGUCCGAUCGGCAGUAAAACGUAUACAUGUCCUGAAGUGGGCCGUUUGUUGGUUUGGGAUGAAUAAAUUGACAGCAACGUCGUCAAGUCAUAUGGGGACGUUAGAUCCUAGGAUGUCAGGCUCCAAACACGUUCAGAACCUUUACAGCAAGAACUUGAGAGGUCCGUCGGGUACCUGUUGCAAGAAUAAUAUCUAUUCCUAACCAACGUAGCAUCAUUUCCUAGUGAAAGUCCCUUUUUUUAGUCCUUCAUCUCUGUCAACCCCUAUUAAUUGUUAAUUUCUUCUUAGUACAAAGUACUUGCCACUGGACGUUAAGCAAACACCACAAACAUGCAACAAAACCCUGCCCUAUGUGCCUACUUUACAUACUCUUAGAAAGAAAACCCUACUCAACAUGAAUUCUAACAAACUCGAAUUCAACGACGUGAACCCUUCUCAAAAUGUCCUUUAAAAUUUUCUUAUAAAGCUACACGAGCAAUGCAUGAUAAUUUGUGUUUACUAUAUACAAUAUAAGAUGUGUACUCAGUAGUGCAAUUCUUAAAUUAAGAGUAAAGAGCACAUUACAAUUACUUCAAAGAGUUGUGUUGAAAUAUUUAAAAUAAGAGAAAAAAGUCAUGCUUAAUUUAAAAUGCCUUAAAUUAAAAGUAGGGUUCAUUUUCGUUGAAAAGUGCAAGAUCAAUCUUCGUUUCACACUUAUACAAUUGUUAUAUUGCAUUUUUGAUACAUGAUAAUUAUGAACAACAAAGACGUAUUAUGAAUAAUCAUUUUCAUUUCUCUUUUCAGAAAUUAUUUUUACAUAAACACGAAACAAAGACGGGCAUGAUUUAGUAAAUGUGUGAGAACCUAGAUUCUUUUGUUUAAAGGAAACAAUGAUUUUAUUUUU
rnacentral:lncRNA from 1 species